CCUACGGGAGGCAGCAGUGAGGAAUAUUGGUCAAUGGGCGGAAGCCUGAACCAGCCAAGUCGCGUGAGGGAUUAAGGCCCUGCGGGUCGUAAACCUCUUUUGCCGGGGAGAAGUGGUCCGGACGUGUCCGGGCCGGGAGAGUACCCGGAGAAAAAGCAUCGGCAACCUCCGGGCCAGCAGCCGCGGUAAUACGGGGGAUGCGAGCGGUAUCCGGAUUUAUUGGGUUUAAAGGGUGCGUAGGCGGGCAUUUAAGCCGGCGGCAAAACGUCGGGGCCCAACCCCGGCCUGCCGUCGGAACUGGGUGCCUUGAGUGCGCGAGAGGUAUGCGGAAUGCGUGGUGUAGCGGUGAAAUGCGUAGAUAUCACGCAGAACCCCGAUGGCGAAGGCAGCAUGCCGGAGCCCUACUGACGCUGAGGCACGAAAGUGCGGGUAUCGAACAGGAUUAGAUACCCCAGUAGUC
rnacentral:rRNA from 1 species